rnacentral:rRNA from 1 species
AGCGAACGCUGGCGGCAGGCCUAACACAUGCAAGUCGAACGAACUCUUCGGAGUUAGUGGCGGACGGGUGAGUAACACGUGGGAACGUGCCUUUUGGUUCGGAAUAACUCAGGGAAACUUGUGCUAACACCGAAUGUGCCCUUCGGGGGAAAGAUUUAUUGCCAUUAGAGCGGCCCGCGUCUGAUUAGCCAGUUGGUUAGGUAACGGCUCACCAAGGCGACGAUCAGUAGCUGGUCUGAGAGGAUGACCAGCCACACUGGGACUGAGACACGGCCCAGACUCCUACGGGAGGCAGCAGUGGGGAAUGUUGCGAAAUGGGCGAAAGCCUGACGCAGCCAUGCCGCGUGAAUGAUGAAGGUCUUAGGAUUGUAAAAUUCUUUCAACGGGGACGAUAAUGACGGUACCCGGAGAAGAAGCCCCGGCUAACUUCGUG